rnacentral:rRNA from 1 species
AACGAACGCUGGCGGCGUGGAUAAGACAUGCAAGUCGUACGCUGGUAUGCGGGUAGCAAUAUUUGCAUAUUGGAGUGGCGAACGGGUGAGUAACACGUGGGUAAUUUAUCUUUGAGUUAGGGAUAAUUCGCUGAAAGGCGGACUAAUACCGAAUGUGGAUACUGGGUGGGGACAUCUGGUUUCUAAAGUUGGGGACCGAGAGGCCUGGCGCUCACAGGUAAGCCCGCGUCCUAUCAGCUGGUUGGUGAGGUAAGAGCUUACCAAGGCUAUGACGGGUAGCUGGUCUGAGAGGACGAUCAGCCACACUGGAACUGAGACACGGUCCAGACACCUACGGGUGGCAGCAGUCGAGAAUCUUUCUCAAUGGGGGCAACCCUGAAGGAGCGACGCCGCGUGGGGGAUGAAGGGCUUCGGCUCGUAAACCCCUGUCAUUUGUGAGCACGUGUGAUUGUUUAAGAGAUGGUUACAUAGAUUGUAACAAAAGAGGAANGGACGGCUAACUCUGUGCCAGCAGCCGCGGUAUACAGANGUCCCAGCGUUGUCGGAAUCACUGGGCGUAAAGG